CAGCAGAUUCUCCAACUCCAGCAUAACGAAACAUCAAUGGUAACAUAUGACAUAAUAGUCCCAAUAGUAAAAGCAGUGAGUUCACAUCUGCUUGUUUCUGUUCAAUCACAUAAACCAUUAAGAUUAUAUAUUAAAGAUUAAUAUUUGCAAUUUAAAAAGUGCUUUUAUGAAAAUUUUUGUAACUAUAAAUUAAUAUAUAUUGAUUUACGUACGUACCCUAUCAUAUUUUUGUUCCUUGGAGAGAUUAGCAAUGCCACCACAGAAGAGAGAGGUCCCAAGAACCAGAAGAAGGUUUGAAAGAAUAGAUCCCAAAAGGGAGUAUUUCACAACAUCUACUUUGUGUUGCGUCAGAGCAAGAAUUGCUAUUAUCAGUUCCGUCGCAUUCCCACACGUUGCAUUUAGAAGCCCUCCAACUGAACAAAUAUUAUUUAAACACAUGCACAAUAUUAAUUAGGGAAUUUUCUGGCCUAGAUUUCAAUUAUUAAUCGGACUCCAAAACAAGUAAAAAGAGGCUCUAAUAUCUUUUUUUUCUCUUUUUAUAUCAAGUUAAGAGCAUCAAAAAUUGAUUAUUAUUAUGGAAUUAAAAUACAGCUAAAGAACUUUUACAUUAUCAAUAUGCUUUAAUAUGUUAUAACGAGUUAUUCACCUUAACAUCUACUUUACUAGAUUACUUGGGAACUGUUGUUGAAGAUGCUAUAAAACAAUUAUACACCGUCAGUGCAAAAAUUAAAUUUAUUUUAUAAUUUAUAUAUUUUUUCAAUUUGUCGAAGUCAGCUAGUGGCAAUAUGGUGUCUUACUACUCUUUCGUUUUUCAUAGUGCUGGGUCUAAUGUACUCUUUAUCGCUUUUGCUUUUAAGCUACUUUCUCAUUUUCAUGAUAUUAUUGUUCCUAUGUUUUCUAUUGGCGAUGCUGAUAUUGUUUUUUUUCGUCUUUUUAAGCCAAGGGUCUUUCGGAAACAAGUUCUCUACUCCGUUCGAAUAGAACUAAAAUCUGCGUAUACACUGCCCUUCCUGUACCCAGACUAGAACGCAAUGAUAAUGCUAAAUUUUUUUGUUAUAGAGAGGAUAUAGAACUGCAGUUCAAUCUUAUCUUCUUUUUAUCCUGUAUCUUUUUUUCUUUUAUUGGAGAACGAACGUAUAUUGGGAGUUCUAAUUAAAAUAUUGGCAAGAUAUAUAUAAACAAAGAAAGCCAAAUCAAAAUAUAUGGUAAAUUAAUUAGUACCUGUUGGACCAGUGAAGAAAGCUAUUUGUCUGCAAAUUCAACGAUCAAAAACGGAAGGAAACAGAAAAAUAAUCAGAUAAUAGUAAAUUAAAUUAAUAAAUAAAAUUUUGAUAUAAAUUAGGGAAUCAAUUUCCUUACUCUGUCAAAAAGCUGAUCCGUUCAGCCAAUGGUGUGAGUCCAACUAAACUCAAUCCAAAAACCCAUGACUGAUAUUUUUAAGAAAAAAUAAUAAGAAUGUCAGUACAAUGAAAUAAAUUAAUAAUAAGAAAUAACAGAAGUGUUGAUUAAAUAAUAGCUUCUCAGAUCCGUAUCAUUCAACGGCUCUUUUGCUUGUCCAAAAUGAAAAAUUUAAUCACCGUUUAAAAUACUACUCAAACUUCUAGUAUUUCUUUUUCCUUCCAUUUUGUGUUAAUUAAAGUGUUUUAUUAUUCAUGCAUAAUGUCAUAAUCUGUUGAACCAUGAUACCCUCUAAUCUAUAAUUUAAAAUAUUUAAUAAAAUAUAGUUUUGAUUAGUUAAUUGCUCCAUAUAUUUUAUCUUGAAUAUGUCUGCUUCUUUGUUUCACUAAAAAUAUAUUUUUCCUUUAUUUUUGGGUAACUCUAAUAUCUAAUAUCAACAACAACAAAGUAUAAUCCCAUUUAGUGAGGUCUGGGAAGGGUAGUAUGUACGCAGACCUUACCCCUACCCGGGGUAGAGAGGCUGUUUCCAAAUAGACCACCGACAUCCUUCCCUCCAAGAACUUCCCACCUUNNNNNNNNNNNNNNNNNNNNNNNNNNNNNNNNNNNNNNNNNNNNNNNNNNNCAUCCUUCCCUCCAAGAACUUCCCACCUUGCUCUUGGGGAGACUCGAACUCACAACCUCUCAGUUGGAAGUGGGGGUUGCUUACCAUCAGAGCAACCCACUCUAAUAUCUAAUAUCAUAGUAUUAAAUUGUAAUUAAGCAUUAGAUAAAAUGAUGAAAGUAAUUCAAUAAAAAGAAAAGAGAAGAUGAUGACUUACUCUUCCAAAGUUUAGGUAAUGAGCAAGAAUGGCAAAAGGGACAGCAAUGAAGAGCACAAAAAGUUUAGUUCCUAAAAUGACCUCUUGAAUAUUAGCAAGAACAUCUCUAACAAUGCUGCAAGGUACUUUCCGCUACUUUAAAAUGACCUCUUGAAUAUUAGCAAGAACAUCUCUAACAAUGCUGCAAGGUACUUUCCGGACAAGGGUAAGAUCGGAUUUUUUUCUCAGAGAUGCUGAGGACAAGUUAUGAGCUGUUCGGCUACGGCCAUGUCCGUGCCUCAUUUCUUUGCUUAAGGGUUUAAUAUUUCCAUUUUCUAAUAGCCAUGUUUCUGCUGCUGGUGCUGAUGAUGAAGACAUUGGUAUUUGAAUAUUCUUUUUUUCUUUCUAUUUGUUUGGUUUUUAUCUAUAUAUGCUGAUGCAAAUAGUUUUAAUAUGUAAAUAUAAGAAACGUAACCAAGAGAGAUAAUAUGAAGGGUAUUGAGUACACUGUUGUAUUGAUAAGUAGUGAUAACUGUCUCUGUGAGUACGGUGGCCUUGAAUAUACAUUAUAUAAGAAAUGAUUUGGAGCAGGCAAUUUCCACGAAGUUUCUACUUUUGUUUUUUUGGGAUAUUCAUUAGAAAAGUUUUUUUUUUUUAUGUAACUUCUUUUAGGAAAACAAAAAUCUAUUACAGUGAUAGAAAAGGGUGAUUUUUUGCCGGUUGUCCGUUUUUGUAUCUGCAAUUUAGUAAAUGGCCAUCUUUUUAUUUCUCUUGUAACGGUCUAAAUAUAUUUAGCAAAUUAAACAUUUUAUGAUAAAAUAUUACAUCACAGUUUAAAUUUUUGUAAUUUAUUGCGGACGCUAGACCAUGAUAGAAACUUAUAUAAGUUAUUCAAAAGUUAGACCGUAGUAUAAUAUUUUGGGAGCAAACAGAAAGUUCUAUGAGCAAUUAUUAUACCUGAGUCUAAUGUUGUUCGAAAGGGUAAUUUUCCAAGGUUGCACGUUGUAAAUUGUAAUGACUCGAUAGAUCGUUUGGAAUACUAGCUUUUUUUUUUGUGUUCCAAAACUUUACAUAUCUCAAUUUGAUGACGUAUAACAUAUGUUUACGGUCCGUGUCAAUUUCCGAAAGGUCCAUAUGUAAAAUUCUAAAGAAAAUAUGAUUUUUUUGCUUUAAAUGCCUCCAGAGGUGACCACGGUCAACGCUUUUUGUAAACAAGCUCAGAUCGGUAUUUUGAUAAUUCCAGUAAGUAGGUCCAUAUGAUAAUUUUAGACUUGUAUGCAUAUUUAGUUGGGGUCCCAGGAGAUCCGAGGCCGUUUCGGCACAUUAUGUGAAAAGUUGGAAAAUAAUUUUUAACUUAAAAAUCUUGAGUUUUAAUGAUAUAUUAUUGGUAUUUCAUGUUAUUUUGAUGAUUUGAGCUAGAAAGCAAGUUUAUAUGAUGUAUUACACUCGUGUGGAUGUCCAAAUUGAAGCCCAAGGCGCUUGAGAUCGGUAUUUUGAUGAUUCCGGUAAGUAGGUCCAUAUGAUGAUUUUAGACUUGUAGGCAUAUAUGGUUGGGGUUCUAGGAGAUCCGAGGCCGUUUCGGUACAUUAUGUGAAAAGUUGGAAAAUAAGUUUUACACUUAAAAAUCUUGAAUUUUAAUGACAUAUUAUUGGUAUUUCAUGUUGUUUUGAUGAUUUGAGCUAGAAAGCGAGUUUGUAUGAUGUAUUACACCCCUGUGGAUGUUCGAAUUGAAGCCCGAGGGGCUUAAGUAAGUUUCAGAUGUGUUACACACUGCAUUUAUUUGGCUUAACGGGACUAUUCACGUUGAAUUUCUAGAGGUCUCGCAUUUGCGAGAACCUAUUCGCAAAUGCGAGCUUCACUUUUAUAAAGUCAGGCUCACAUUUGCUAAGGGGGACUGGGAGUUGGGAUCUUUUUUUGAAUUUAUGUUAUUUUGAUGAUUUGAGCUAGAAAGCGAGUUUGUAUGAUGUAUUUCACUCGUGUGGAUGUUCGAAUUGAAGUCCGAGGGGCUUGAGUAAGUUUCGGAUACAUUACACACAUAUUUUUUUUAGCUUAACAGGACUAUUCAUGUUGAAUGUCAGGAGGUCUCACAUUUUUGAGAACUUGUUCGCAAUUGCGAGCUUCACUUUUGCAAAGUCAGGCUCGCAUUUGCUAAGGGGGCCAGGAGUUGGGAUAUUCGUUUCGUUUGAACGCUUGUUCUAAAGAGAAAGCCGUGUUGGAUUGUUGAUUGUAUUUCGAAAAGAGUUAAGUGUCUUAUUUAAUCUCGAUUUGUGGAAAACAAGAUAGAGUCGAAUCUAUUUGCUAUGCGAUCCAUGUAUUUGGGGUGUCAUAUAUGCAUGAUAACAUGUGUGUAUAUAUGCAUUGGCCAUGAGAUAAGCACGGAGGCAGAAUUAGUCUUACUUGUGCCAUGUUAUUUGGUGUAUUAUGUCUUUCAUAUCUUAGAUAGAUUGAUUAAUUUUUGAUUACUCGCAUUCAUGUUAUUUUUUACGUUGAGAUUAUUAUGGUAUUGGGCGUUUGAGAUUGUGAAUUUGUUAAUUGGUUAUCGACAUUAAUCGUUGAAAGAUUCUCAUAUGACGAGUUGUGUUCAAAUACUACUGUUGAUGUUGAAUUUGCUUCUCAUCUUGCUUGGUAUUGUGUUAUUUGUGAUUGCAUGGUGGGGGAAGAGCGAAAUGCGCGAAGGAUGUUGUUGUGGUUAUGAGGAAGAGUAAUGGUGACAAAAGGUGUUUCGUGCCUUAUUUACAUAUUGAUAUUAUUGCUUGCGUGAAUACGAGGAUAUGCAUAAAGUUUAUUUCCGUGCUUGAUUACUAUUUUAUUAUGUGAGGAUGAAAGUAAACGCAUGAAUGGUGAUGCCAUGCAAUUGUUUUACAUUAUUAUAUGAGGAUGAGAGUAAAAGUACGAAGGGUGAUGCAUGCCGUACAAAUUUAUUUAUUAUUUUUUACUUUGAUAUUGAAAUGUGAACUUGACUUUAUGGCUUUGUUAAUUGCUUUUGAAAGAUUGUUCGGAGUUGUUGUUACUUUACUCAAUGCUUUCGCUUUAAGCCCCUUUUACUUAUAUACUUGUUAUUAUCCCGUCUUUAUACUUGACACUUUACUUAUUAUUAUUAUUUCGCAUGCAAGUUUAUUGUAGGUGUCUUAGCUUAGCCUCGUUACCAUCCCUUCCGGGUUAGGCGCGAUAUUUACUAAGUGUAUUGGGCAGAUUGUACUCAUACUAUACUUUUGCACUUCUUGUGCAGACCAGAACAUUGGUACCAUCGGAGUUCCGAGAGGUGCUUAGCAUAUACCAGUCGGAUAAUUCAAGGUAGAGCUGCAUUCACUACAAGAAAUAUGCCAUAUGACGACAUUUUAUAAAUGUCGUAUUAAGCUACAUAAAUGUCAUAAAAUCGUGUUCCGACAUUUAUUUUACACUUAGACCAAGUGUCGUAAAUUUCAAUGUUGGAAAUAUUCCGACAUUUAUUUUAGUGUCGGUAAAAUAUUUACGAUAUUUAACUUGCGACUCUUAUGAAAAGGUCGCGUUAAAACUUAUGACAUUUCACAUAAUGUCGGCAAGUUAAGUACAGGUUUUCAACUUAUUUCUUUUACGACAUUUAGAAGUAUCGAAAUUUUUUGAAUUACCGUGACAUUUGUACAACUCAUCUUGCUAAUAUAAUAAUUGAUCAUUGACAUUUGCACAUACUCUGAGAGGACAAUUCCUAUAAAUAUAAAUUUGAAAUUAUAGUUUACUAUAAUGAAAGUAUAGCCUUCAAAUUUCUAAACUAAAUACCAGUAAGUGUCAUUCAACAUAGAGAAUUUGAACGGUAAUAAAUAGAAGUUCUCUAUAAUUAAUUACAAGAAUGUAUUAAUGAAUAGCUGUAUAUCUUUACAAUGAGAUAAUGCUAGAAUCAAACUAUUCGGCUGGAUUUGAGAAAAAUAAACAAAUUCUGCAACAACAGAUCUCUUCCUCAACUCGUUAUUUCACUUUUUGUGCUACAUCCCGUCAGCUCCAAUUUCCUUGUGCAUCCGCCCGUUCGGCACUUUAUUGAAUUUAGACAACGAGGUCCUCUGAGGUAGUUAACCUAUAUUUUCAUAAAAUGGAAAAUAACUAGCAGAUCAUUGAAAGUCAAUAUAAGAUUGCAUAAUCUACAUGCAAGAAUAAUUCAAUAAAAUGAAUUUAUCUAGUGCAACUAUUUUUACGAGUAUCCUCAUCCUUAUAAGACAACCAAUUGAAGUAUAGUUAUUUGUCAUCAGCGAACAAAAUGCCUUAGUAAAAAACACAUAAUUUUAAUAAAGAAGGAUGUUGUUUGGCCAUCAAACUUACAAGAACUUUGCCAUAAGUUAACACACUGUGGACUUUCUCAUUGCAACUCUAUAUCACACACACUGUGGCCUUUCUCAUUGCAACUCUAUAUCACACACACUGUGGCCUUUCUCAUUGCAACUCUAUAUCACACACACAAAGGCUAGUGGAUUUGUGCAACCGCAUUCUUCACCUAAUCAACCAGCAUAGCCAUCAGUAGUACAUUUCAACCUAGUACAUUCUAAACAUGUUCAACUGAUUGCAUAAUUUUCGUAGGGGGAAGUUACGAAAAAAAAAAUCUCUUUCUUUUUCAAAUUACUAGUACACUUUUUGACAUUUGCCAUGUAUGUCAAUAAUGAAAUUCUUAAUCAGGUGACAUUUAGAUCAAAUGUUACUAUAUUUUCCAUCAUUUUUCAUCAAAUGUCAAAUUUUUGCCACACUUUUUUAACAAAUUCGUAAAACUUUUAAAAAUAGAGACAAACAGUGUCUUAACCAAAGGAAAAGAGGAUAAUAAGAAUCAAAUAUACACUCAUUUUUUGAGACACCACUAGUAUCACUAGACACACGACCAUGAGUACUAGUAAUAUAAAACCGACAACAAUGUUCCCUCUGAUAUUCAAUAUAUUUUCAUAAUUUUGAAAUACUAUUUCCUCCGUUUUAAUUUAUGUGAAUUCAUUAAUUGGAUACGGAGUUUAAGACAAAAGAUUAAAAUUUUUGAACUUGUGGUAUAAAAUGAGACACAUAUAUCUUAUGUGACUAUAAAUACUAUGUAAAUUUUUUCUAAAUAAGGAAAAGAAUAAUUCUUUUUGCCACAAACUAAAAAAGAAAUAUGUUUGCAUAAAUUAAAAUGAAGUUGACAUAUAUUAUCUAAGUUUGUGGAUCUAACCUUUAAUAUAUCAGACAUUGCAGACGGCCUGAAAUAUUGAGUAGAAGUAACUUUAACUGAUCGGUUAAUCUGCGAUUCAUGUGAUAUGUGCAUGCAAUUUUCUAUAUUCCUCUUUAGGACUCACUCUUGUUAUCAGGAAAAUAAUAGUAGCAGCUUUUACAGUUUACUAUUCUCUUUAAGAGUCUGUUUGGAAAAUCACCCUGUAAUUAGAAUUGGUAUAAUUAUUAGGGUAAUAAUUACACAACCUAAUAAUUAUUUAAUUGUGAAAUUACGAUGAUUUAUUUGUUUGUCAUACUGUAAUUACAAUGUAAUUACAAGUUUACUGCUUGGUUACACAAGUGUAAUUACGCAUUAGAUUAAAUUUUAAAUUAAGUAAUUAUCAAAACUUAAAAGCUAAUAUAAUAAAUAUUUGCCUAUAAAUUUUUAUAAGUAUAAAUGAUAUUAUAGUUUCUAUUUAAGAUGUAUAUUUUUCGUGAAUAUACAUUAAUAAGUAAUCAUAUAUUUAUAACUAAUUAAUUACAUAAUUAGAUUAAAUUUUAAAUUAAAUAAUUAUCAAAACUUAAAAAAUAAUAUAAUAAAUAUAUGCCUAUAAAUUUUAUAUGUAUAAAUAAUAUUAUACUUGGUAUUUAAGAUGUAUAUUUUUUGUGAAUAUCAAUUAAUAAGUAAUUAUAUAUUUAUAAUUAAUAUUGUAAAAAUAAUUUUUAUAUAUAUAUAUAUAUUAAAUUAAUAAUAUUUAGUUUGGAUACUUACAAAAACUAAAAAAAUUUCGUAUGAACAUCAUCAAAUUCAUAUUCGAUAAAAUAAAUUAAUAUUUAUAAAUAUAAUAUCAUACAUUAUUCAAAUGUUUAACAAAAUUAAUUUAUUAAUUUCUACUAAAAAAUAAAAAACAUGCGAUGUGAGUCAAUACUAAUAAAACAAGUAAAUUGGAACCAUGAAUAUAACAUAACUUUAAAAUUCAAAAAAUAAAUUAUUUUGCAUAUGUCAAAUUCCAAUACAAUAAUAGUAAGUUCCACUAUAAUUUUAGAUUAAGAAACAUAAUAAGUUCAUAACCACAUUCAACAAUGAAAUUUUGCUUUAAUUACAUUACUUGUUAUAUGAUAAGUUUGUAAAUGACUUAUUAUUUAUAAUACUAGGAGGUGUAAUUUUUUUUUAAAAAAUAAUAAAAUAAAUAAAAAUAAAAUAUAAGCAAUUACAUGAAAUAACAAGAAAUAAAGGAAGA
rnacentral:lncRNA from 1 species